UGAGGAAUAUUGGACAAUGGACGAGAGUCUGAACCAGCCAUGCCGCGUGAAGGAUGAAGGCGUUCUGCGUUGUAAACUUCUUUUGCAGGGGAAGAAACCUUGCUCUUCUUAUCAAGCCGACGGUACCCUCAGAAUAAGCACCGGCUAACUCCGUGCCAGCAGCCGCGGUAAUACGGAGGGUGCAAGCGUUAUCCGGAUUUACUGGGUUUAAAGGGUGCGUAGGCGGAUUAUUAAGUCAGCGGUGAAAUCUCCAGGCGAAAGAUGGAGACUGCGAUUGAUACUAUUAGACUUGAAUAUUGUUGAGGUGGGCGGAAGGGGUCAUGUAGCGGUGAAAUGCAUAGAUAUGACAUGGAACACCGAUUGCGAAGGCAGCUCACUAAGCAAUGAUUGACGCUGAGGCACGAAAGCGUGGGGAUCAAACA
rnacentral:rRNA from 1 species